GGCUAAAUCUCUUCAAUCCAUAAAUACGAUGAAGCCUAUAAAUAGAUUUUUAUUUUUUUCUUGUAUUUAAUUUUCAUACAAUAAAAUUAUGAUUUUAUUUUAUAUUUUUUUAUUUUUUUGUAGGUAUUGAUCUAGCCUACACAUCCUAUACCCUCUACUGAUGUGCCGUGAUAUCUGGAUACGGUAUGUACUUAGGAGAGAUAGAUCGUGGUAUGUUAGAUUAAAUUUUAUAUCUUAUUAUUGAAUUUAGAUAGUUUAUACCC
rnacentral:lncRNA from 1 species